rnacentral:rRNA from 1 species
GUAGGUGGCAAGCGUUGUCCGGAAUUAUUGGGGCGUAAAGCGCGCGCAGGCGGUUCUUUAAGUCUGAUGUGAAAGCCCCACGGGCUCAACCGUGGAGGGUCAUUGGAAACUGGAGAACUUGAGUACAGAAGAGGAAAGCGGAAUUCCACGUGUAGCGGUGAAAUGCGUAGAGAUGUGGAGGAACACCAGUGGCGAAGGCGGCUUUCUGGUCUGUAACUGACGCUGAGGCGCGAAAGCGUGGGGAGCAAACAGGAUUAGAUACCCUGGUAGUCCACGCCGUAAACGAUGAGUGCUAAGUGUUAGGGGGUUUCCGCCCCUUAGUGCUGCAGCUAACGCAUCAAGCACUCCGCCUGGGGAGUACGGCCGCAAGGCUG